AGAGUUUGAUCAUGGCUCAGGACGAACGCUGGCGGUGUGCUUAAGACAUGCAAGUCGAGCGGUCCCGCAAGGGACAGCGGCGGACGGGUGAGUAACACGUGGAUAACCUGCCCGACUCCCCGGGAUAACAGGCCGAAAGGCCUGCUAAUACCGGGUAAGCUCACAUCACCGCAUGGUGGUGGGAGAAAAGGUCCCGCAAGGGACUGGGGUUGGAGGGGUCCGCGGUCCAUUAGCUAGUUGGGGGGGUAACGGCCCACCAAGGCGACGAUGGAUAGCCGGCCUGAGAGGGCGACCGGCCACACUGGGACUGAGACACGGCCCAGACUCCUACGGGAGGCAGCAGUCGGGAAUUUUGGGCAAUGGCCGAAAGGGCUGACCCAGCAACACCGCGUGAGUGAAGAAGGCCUUCGGGUUGUAAAGCUCUGUUGCCCGUGAAGAACGGUGCUUUCAGGAAAUGGGAAGCACUUGACGGUAGCGGGAGAGGAAGCUCCGGCUAACUACGUGCCAGCAGCCGCGGUAAUACGUAGGGAGCGAGCGUUGUCCGGAUUUAUUGGGCGUAAAGGGCGUGUAGGCGGCUUUUUAAGUCUGAAGUGAAAACUCGGGGCUCAACCCCGAGCCGGCUUCGGAUACUGGAGAGCUUGAGUGCUCUAGAGGGCAGUGGAAUUCCCGGUGUAGCAGUGAAAUGCGUAGAGAUCGGGAGGAACACCAGUGGCGAAGGCGACUGCCUGGGGAGUAACUGACGCUGAGGCGCGAAAGCUGGGGGGAGCAAACGGGAUUAGAUACCCCGGUAGUCCCAGCCGUAAACGAUGAGUGCUAGGUGUAGCGGGUAUCGACCCCCGCUGUGCCGGAGUUAACGCAAUAAGCACUCCGCCUGGGGAGUACGGCCGCAAGGUUGAAACUCAAAGGAAUUGACGG
rnacentral:rRNA from 1 species